UACGUAGGGAGCGAGCGUUGUCCGGAUUCAUUGGGCGUAAAGAGCUCGUAGGCGGCUUGGCAAGUCGGGUGUGAAAACUCCAGGCUCAACCUGGAGACGCCACCCGAUACUGCCAUGGCUAGAGUCCGGUAGGGGACCACGGAAUUCCUGGUGUAGCGGUGAAAUGCGCAGAUAUCUGGAGGAACACCGGUGGCGAAGGCGGCAUCCUGGACCGGCAUUGACGCUGAGGCGCGAAAGCCAGGGGAGCAAACGGG
rnacentral:rRNA from 1 species